AUUGCCCUGGGGAUUGUAAUUAACAACUUGUAAUAAUAAAGUUCAGAUUUAUACCUUUUUAAUUUUAAUAGCAUAUAUAAGCUUUAAAAAAUAUAAUUCUAUUACCUCCCUCAUAAUUUGUGCUGUUUUUGCCAUAAAGAUUACAUCUUUACAUAUUGUAUACCUAUCACUACAGUUUUUUUUUAAAUUAAGAGAUAGAGUCUCAUUCUGUCACUCAGGCUAGAGUUCAGUGGCAUGAUCAUAGCUCACUGCAGCUUUGAACUCCUAGACUCAAGUGAUUCUCUGCCUCAGCCUCCUGAAUAGCUAGGAUGGCAAGUGUGUGCCAUCAUGCCUGGUUAAUAAAAAAUUUUUUGGUAGAGACAGGGUCUCACCACGUUGCCCAGGCUAGCCUCAAACUCCUGACAUCAAGCAGUUCUCCUGCCUUAGCCUCCCAAAGUGCUAGGAUUACAGGUAUUAGCCAACACACCUGGCCUCCAUACAAUUUUAACACCAUGCAAAGAUUAGGGUUAUGCUUCUAUAAGCCAAGAAAGCACAAAAAUCUAGGAGAGAAGUUUGGGACACACUCUUUCCUACCACUCUCAGAUAAAGCAUCCAUGCCAGCCACCCUGAUCUCUGACCUGCAGACACCUUGUUCUCAGACUUCCAGCUUCCAGAACUGAUCUCACUCUAUCGCCCAGGAGAGCAGUGGCACAAUCAUAGCUCACUGCAGCCUCAAUCUCCCUGGCUCAAGCGAACUUCCUGCCUCAGCCUCCCAACAUAGCUGGGACUACAGGAACAGUGCCAGGCCACCCAUUGAAGUUACCACGUGUCAUGGCUGUGAGUGCCUUCACUACUUGGAGUAGGCUCAUUAGCAGACAACCCUCCCAGAGCCCUACGUGCAACCGGCAUCUAUAUGGUCUGUUCGGUUGGAGACUCACUCUGUUGCCAGGCUGGAACGCAGAGGUGCAAUCUCAGCUCACUGCAUCCUCCACCUCCUGGGUUCAACCAAUUCUCCUGCCUCAGCUUCCUGAGUAGCUGGGACUACAGAGAUGAGUCUCGCUAUGUUGGCCCCAGGCUGGUCUUGAACUCCUGGAUUCAAGUGAUCAUCUUGCCUCAUCGGCCUCCCAAACUGCUGGGACUACAGACAAGGGAGUGGAGGUCCAGAAGAUAUUUUUUCCAAGGCCACAAUUUCCUGGUCAUCUCUGAGACGUCGUUUGGGAGUGCCCUCAUCCUGGAAGUCGUUCUGCAUCCCGUCUUGCCUCUUACAGCCUCCACUCCCAGCUCCUACGGCCCCCGGGUAACCCCUAUUGGCACUCAUUGCCCGCCACUGCCAUUCUGCCCACACAUCUGUCUGAACACAGCCUUUCUCCAGCAGGGAUCACAUCUGCAACCUUGGUAG
rnacentral:lncRNA from 1 species